GAACUCUGUUGAAGCGGGUGGGUGUUACUAGAGAAAGAAGACUCGGAGGGUCAGGAGCUCCCAGGAGGAGGGCCGUGGGACUGUUGAAGACCAGGAAGGACACAGAGAGAAUGUGACAUAUGUCUAAUGGCCCUCCUGAUGCAGACUGUCUUACACCCACCUUCGGAGCUGGCACGGCCAGACACGGCACCCAGUGCUUCAACUUUGGUGUGUAGUGCCCCUGGCACCAGGUUCCUCCCAGCACCGAUCUCCAUCAUGAGUGCCGAAAAAGAAAGAGAAGAAGACUGCACCGAGCAAGUCCAGCCAAGGGGCUCUGGGCACCUACAGUGGAACUGACCUGAGCAACACAUCUUGAAGAACAACAGUUACGAAAAGGGUUCUUAUGUUCCUUAUGAGCUGUGUUGGAGGGAUAAUUUUAAGACCACCAGGAGACUCUGGAGUAUCACUUUACACAAGAAGUAAGAAAAUUCAAUGCCGACUUCAGACGAAGAAAGAGAGAGAAACCUAACCUUAACUCUGGAUUCUGCCUAUUCUGCACCCAGUCCUGCUGAGUCUCUGGUGCCCUUCUGUGAGCCCUGCUGAGCUGAUGUAGCAGGUCUUUUCAUUCUGCUUCAGUGACAACAUCAGGAGCACUGCUGUUCCAGCUCCAGGCUAAUGAACGCAGCCAAAUUAUGAUCAUCUCCCUCAAAUCAGUAGUGGAGAAUUUUAAUUUCCUAGCCUGCCAGUAGUGUGUUGGGGUUUCAGCUUCAAACACCGUUAGAAAGAGAGACUAAUCCUCUAGUGUUCAGAAAACACAAACUAAACAGUGGAAUGCAAACCUAGUGAAGUAAUAAUAUAUGUCUGCUUUAAUGUAAUUUCAAAAUGCCUGUACUAAAAGGAGCUUACCCAUUGCACAAUGAGAUGGUGAUGAAAUCAUUUUUAGUGUGUUUCCUCUAAUUUACUUAGUUAACUUUCAAAAACAUGCAGCCGGUCUGUCUGAUGACCUAAUGUGGCAUGACUGGGAGCUUAGUUUAUUUUCAACAGCUUCUUAAUGCUAGAACUUGAACCUGUUACAUCUGGGUUUUCUAUAGAAUUUGGGCAACCCAUGGCUUGUCAUUUACGAGAGGUGAAAUUUUCAUCUAAAGCUGCAACUAGGUGGAGAACAUGCUGAAUAGGAUUUGCUUAUAUGACUGAACUAUAAAAAUAGCACAGUGUCUGGAAACAAUUUGAAAAGGCUUUGCCACAUGUACAGCACACCAGGAAAGACAUUCUGGUCUUGAAACCGCCUAAUAGUCCCAUCAGGAAAAUAUGGUUUAACUUUCUGGAGUUUGCAGACAUAUGAAUUAUUAUGGAUACUGGUGUCAUUGAGGAAUAACAACUUCACUCUCCAUUUCCACCUGUGUAAAUUAUAAAGGAAGUGAUACAGGGACAUGAAGAUUAGUUAAUUUUUGUAUGGCACUUUUAAGUUGAAAAGCUCUUUUGUACAUAUUUUGCUAAAUAUAUUUAAAGUGUAUGUAUUAAUGAUAUAUAUCCUCUCUCUCUCUCUCUCUCUCAUGGUUAGAUAUAAACUUUAAUAGGGCUUGCUGUUUAGAAAAUGCCAGCAUUUUAAGGGUUAGUUAUGUGGCACACACUUCUGGAUUAUUGCUUAAAAAACACAUGUACACACACAAGAAAGCCAAGGUGCAGUUACAUAAAUGGGCUUUUAUGUAAGCUGAAAAGUUUAAAAAUGAUUAUA